rnacentral:rRNA from 1 species
GACGAACGCUGGCGGCGUGCUUAACACAUGCAAGUCGAACGGAAAGGCCCCUUUGGGGGUCCUCGAGUGGCGAACGGGUGAGUAACACGUGAGUAACCUGCCCUUGACUUCGGGAUAACUUCAGGAAACUGGGGCUAAUACCGGAUAGGAAUCCUUGCUGCAUGGUGGGGGUUGGAAAGCUUCGGCGGUUUUGGAUGGACUCGCGGCUUAUCAGCUUGUUGGUGGGGUAGUGGCUUACCAAGGCUUUGACGGGUAGCCGGCCUGAGAGGGCGACCGGCCACAUUGGGACUGAGAUACGGCCCAGACUCCUACGGGAGGCAGCAGUGGGGAAUAUUGCACAAUGGGCGGAAGCCUGAUACAGCAACGCCGCGUGCGGGAUGACGGCCUUCGGGUUGUAAACCGCUUUCAGCAGGGGCGAAGCUUGUGGUGACGGUACCUGCAGAAGAAGCACCGGCUAACUACGUG